UACGUAGGGUGCGAGCGUUGUCCGGAAUUAUUGGGCGUAAAGGGCUCGUAGGCGGUUUGUCACGUCGGGAGUGAAAACUCGGGGCUUAACUCCGAGCCUGCUUCCGAUACGGGCUGACUAGAGGUAUGCAGGGGAGAACGGAAUUCCUGGUGUAGCGGUGAAAUGCGUAGAGAUCGGGAGGAACACCAGAGGCGAAGGCGGCUCACUGGACAGGUACUGACACUCAACUACGAAAGCGUGGGGAGCAAACAGG
rnacentral:rRNA from 1 species